rnacentral:sRNA from 1 species
UUCUAGCCCUGAUAGAAGCGGUAUCCUUUUUCUGGUUUCUUUAACCAGGAAAAGAUACAAGCGGAUAGCAGGAAAUAGC